GAUUUAGAAAAGCCUGUAAUGGUGAAUGGACUGAUAAGCAGGCUAUGCAUUCGUCAUGUAUGCCCCAUUUGCAAUGAAACGAUGCUGUUGCAAAAUAAUACAACCAGCAUCAUCAUCAACAAUGAAGAACGCCAACAUAACGAUCGCGUCAUUCACGUGCAUA